rnacentral:rRNA from 1 species
CCCUUAGAUGUCCUGGGCUGCACGCGCGCUACACUGAUGUGUCCAGUAAGCACCUAACCUCUUCCGAAAGGAACGGGUAACCUUUGCAAAGCACAUCGUGAUGGGGAUAGAUUAUUGCAAUUAUUAGUCUUGAACGAGGAAUUCCUAGUAAGCACAAGUCAUCAGCUUGUGUUGAUUACGUCCCUGCCCUUUGUACACACCGCCCGUCGCUCCUACCGAUUGAAUGUUCCGGUGAGCUCUUCGGACUGCGCGGUCUGCAGUUUCUGCGUUCCGUGCGGAAAGUUGCGCAAACCUUAACAUUUAGAGGAAGGAGAAGUCGUAAUA